AUUGAACGCUGGCGGCAGGCCUAACACAUGCAAGUCGAGCGGACGAAGGGAGCUUGCUCCUGGAUUCAGCUGCGGACGGGCGAGUAAUGCCUAGGAAUCUGCCCGGUAGUUGGGGAUAACGUCCGGAAACGGGCCCUAAUACCGCAUACGUCCUUAGUGAGAAAGGGGGGGAUCUUCGGACCUCACGCUAUCUGAUGAGCCUAGGUCGGAUUAGCUAGUUGGUUGGGUAAAGGCCUACCAAGGCGACGAUCCGUAACUGGUCUGAGAGGAUGAUCAGUCACACUGGAACUGAGACACGGUCCAGACUCCUACGGGAGGCAGCAGUGGGGAAUAUUGGACAAUGGGCGAAAGCCUGAUCCAGCCAUGCCGCGUGUGUGAAGAAGGUCUUCGGAUUGUAAAGCACUUUAAGAUGGGAGGAAGAGAAGUAAGUUAAUCCCUUGCUGUUUUGACGUUACCAACAGAAUAAGCACCGGCUAACUUCGUG
rnacentral:rRNA from 1 species